UACGGGGGGGGUAAGCGUUGUUCGGAAUUACUGGGCGUAAAGGGCUCGUAGGCGGCCAACUAAGUCAUACGUGAAAUCCCUCAGCUUAACUGGGGAACUGCGUGUGAUACUGGAUGGCUUGGAUUUGGGAGAGGGAUGCGGAAUUCCAGGUGUAGCGGUGAAAUGCGUAGAUAUCUGGAGGAACACCGGUGGCGAAGGCGGCAUCCUGGACCAAUAUUGACGUUGAGGAGCGAAAGCCAGGGAGCAAACGGG
rnacentral:rRNA from 1 species